GACGAACGCUGGCGGCGUGCUUAACACAUGCAAGUCGAACGGAAAGGCCCUGCUUUUGUGGGGUGCUCGAGUGGCGAACGGGUGAGUAACACGUGAGUAACCUGCCCUUGACUUUGGGAUAACUUCAGGAAACUGGGGCUAAUACCGGAUAGGAGCUCCUGCUGCAUGGUGGGGGUUGGAAAGUUUCGGCGGUUGGGGAUGGACUCGCGGCUUAUCAGCCUGUUGGUGGGGUAGUGGCUUACCAAGGCUUUGACGGGUAGCCGGCCUGAGAGGGUGACCGGCCACAUUGGGACUGAGAUACGGCCCAGACUCCUACGGGAGGCAGCAGUGGGGAAUAUUGCACAAUGGGCGGAAGCCUGAUGCAGCAACGCCGCGUGCGGGAUGACGGCCUUCGGGUUGUAAACCGCUUUCGCCUGUGACGAAGCGUGGGUGACGGUAAUGGGUAAAGAAGCACCGGCUAACUACGUG
rnacentral:rRNA from 1 species